rnacentral:rRNA from 1 species
CAGCCGCCACGGUAAUACAGAGGGUGCAAGCGUUAAUCGGAAUUACUGGGCGUAAAGCGCGCGUAGGUGGUUUGUUAAGUUGGAUGUGAAAUCCCCGGGCUCAACCUGGGAACUGCAUCCAAAACUGGCAAGCUAGAGUAUGGUAGAGGGUGGUGGAAUUUCCUGUGUAGCGGUGAAAUGCGUAGAUAUAGGAAGGAACACCAGUGGCGAAGGCGACCACCUGGACUGAUACUGACACUGAGGUGCGAAAGCGUGGGGAGCAAACAGGAUUAGAUAUCCCUGUAGUCCUGUCUCUUAUACA